rnacentral:miRNA from 1 species
UUUAAAUGAGAUGACUGUCA